AAAUUGCUCCAAAAGCAACCCUGAAUGAACAUAAGGAUAAUGACACAAGACCAGAGUUACAAGAGUCAGAAAAGAGACUUUAGAUCCCUACAAGUUUUUGACACCUUAUGAAUUUGAGAGAGGAAAGUUGCCUCCUGAGGAAAUAUUAUCCCUUCAAAUGUUUAAGGUAUGGAUCUUAUCUCAGUCCAAUAGAAGACAAAUGUUGGUAAAAUGUAAGCUGGAAACUUAAACUUCUUUCAGGAUACAUUAUUAUCUGGUUGUAUUAAUUUCCUUAAGAUGAUCACUUGAAAGCAAGCAUUGAAACUGAGAGUUUUACCAGUCUGCACUAACAUAGUUCAGUGAAGGGAAAGAUUAUGUUAUUUACAUUUUAUUUACCUUCACAAACUAUAAUGAAAACCAGUUUGCAUGCUUACACCAUGAAAUACAUUUAGAAGUAGCCUUGUAUUUCCCAGUCUUAAUCUUAGGAGCUCUCUCGAUGAAGUUUUCUUAGAAAAUAUUCCAUUCGAAAUGAAAUAUAUGCAAAAACGGACUAAAUUAGCCUAGUAUAAAAGGUAAUUGACCAUAUUUAAUAUGUUCAAUCAAUAAAAAAUUAGUCAAUUGAAGUUACCCUCUCAAAGACUAAUAAAUUGAGUUAUUAUUAGAAAUACAAAAAGUUAAAUUAAAUGAAGAGUAUUAAAGCGAUAGUAAUGAUUAAAUAAUGAGAUAUUGUUAAUAUUUGCUUAGAUUUCAUUUCAUAAUAUAUUCACGCAUGACUCUUGAAGUGCAUAAACGACUAUGAAAGAAGAUUAAGGUUGAGUCUCAACUCAAAUUAGAUUGAAAACCCCAAAAUUACCCUUAAAACAAUGUCAAUUUAAGGGGGUAAUUUCAGUUUUUUAGAGGGGAGAAGGAUAGCGGGCCAGAAACUGCUCCGGGCCGGGAACCACUCUGCUCCUCUAUCCCUCUAUUUAUCCUAUAGCGACCGCUAUAGUGUUUUGCGCCGCUAAGACUCUUCCUGCAAUGGUCGGCCUCCGCUCCGCUAUAGCGGGAUAGCGCCGCUAUUGACUACUCUUUCAUUACUGGAGCUCUAGCUGCUGACAAUUUAGUCUUCUUUCACUGCACCACCUGGCCACUUUUUCAUCAGGGUUUUGACCACUGAGUUCUUGAUGAUGAAAUGAUUAAUCUAAUGAACCUUUGUGACUACAAAUAUUUAAAUGCAUCGGAUCCAUUGCACGUUCUUGAUAGGGAAUAAGACACUGGAAUUGUGCAUGGUAUAGUAAAGGUCAAAAUAUUGAAUUUGUGAAAGCUUCCAUGGUGUACAAUUGUAUGCUUAUGAGACUUACACUUUUGAACAGAUGGAGCUUGCAGAACUAUACUGCAGGAAAUACUGCUUGUGUUGUAUAUUAAGAAUUUGGCAAAAAAUGUGAUUACUGAGGAUUUCUAUUUUUUAUUUGGUGAGUUUUCAAGACUUUCAUAUACAGGCUUUGUUUAAUACUUUUUUCUCAUGCAAUUCAAAUGCUUCACCAUCCAAAUGAAAUAUAACUCAGUAACCUAAUGAAAAUAUAGAUGCUUUGGGAUUUUCUUAGUUUAUUGUUUUUGUCUCUUUUUUUUUGUUGAAAUCUAGUUGUUGUCUGGGUGUUAAUUCCACAGCUUAUCUGAUAUUGGCUUUGUCUGGUCUUCAAGUCAAACUGAUGCAGGUAAAAUUUUGCUCUUUUAUUUUAUGCAGAAAUAAUUCCAAAGUUUUAGUCGUUUGCUAGAAUAUGAUCCAUUUAAAUAGCUGGUGCAAUUUGAUCCAGAGUACUUACUCAACUAACCAGAAUUGCGUCCCAUGAAACUCUUGUAGCAGCAUCUUUGUGAGCCCCGAAUUAAUAGCUAGUUUUGAAUUUCAGGAAGGAUGAGGGCUCAAGCUUUUUUAACAAUCCCCUUCCUCAGAACUGGCUUAUCGAGCUUUGUCACAAGUUAUUGUUUUUUAUAAAUAUAUAUGUUUUACUCGAAAUGAUUAUGUUUGUAGUUUUUUCUAGAUUUAGCAGUAUAUCAGUCUAUUUUCUUCUUCUGUUGGCAUAAUUUUUUAUAUUGCAGAGUUUGCCAAAUAAGAAAAUCAAUAGUCUUGGUACUAGCUUCCUUUCGAGAAUCUAGUGAAUGGACAUGUAUUUUGAUGCUGCCAAGUGAACUUAAAUCUAUGGUCAUAGAAAGGAUGUUUCGAUAUGGUGUUUUAAGAACAGCGUGAUUCUCUGCUGCCGUUCGAUUAUGUGAUAACUACCGAAUUGCUAAUGAUGCAUUCUUCAUUCAAUGACCGGAAGAGGACAGUGAUAGACCUAGACCAUUAGGGCAUCAACAUUAGCAAAUGUUCACGUGCAUUCUAUUCUCUUUGGGUGUAUAGUGAGGUGUUCAGAUGAAAAAAAAACUACUUUGCUUAGAAAUCUAUAGAAUUCGGAAUCAGAUUGUUUGCAAGAGGGGUCGAAUAUGCAGACCAAGCUUAUUUAUUACAAAGGAAGUAUUGCUUGGACCUGUGUUAUUUACAUCCCUUUUCGCAAAGAAUUAAGCAGACAAAGUUGUAAUAUAUACUAUAGUAUUAUGAAAGUGCCAAUUUUGCCAA